rnacentral:piRNA from 1 species
UGUUUCCCAUGACCUGUGGGCUCUGC